rnacentral:rRNA from 1 species
ACGAACGCUGGCGGCAGGCCUAAAACAUGCAAGUCGAACGCUUGUAGCAAUACAAGAGUGGCGCACGGGUGAGUAGCACGUGGGAAUGUACCUUUUGGUACGGAACAACUCCGGGAAACUGGAGCUAAUGCCGUAUGGUCCCUUCGGGGUAAAGAUUUAUCGCCAAAAGAGCAGCCCGCGCUGGAUUAGCUAGUUGGUAGGGUAAUGGCCUACCAAGGCGACGAUCCAUAGCUGGUCUGAGAGGACGAUCAGCCACACUGGGACUGAGACACGGCCCAGACUCCUACGGGAGGCAGCAGUUAGGAAUAUUGGACAAUGGGCGCAAGCCUGAUCCAGCCAUGCCGCGUGAGCGAUGAAGGCCUUCGGGUUGUAAAGCUCUUUAGCCGAUGAAUAUAAUGACUGUAGUCGGAGAAUAAGCCCCGGCUAACUUCGU